GAAGAAACAUUGACAGCUGUUACAGAGGAGGAAGCAACAGAGACACUUUAUGAGAGUGAUGAUGGAAAUGCAGAGGAAGAGGGUCCAGCCACUUCUCCAACAAACCUUUCCUCACUCCCUGUAAAGCAGCUGUAUAAGAAAUACUUGAUCAAGAAAAUAGAAAAAUGCGACUUGGAAAUGGAACACUUCAAGCAGCAGAUCCAAAAGACCAAGCUUGAGAUUUUACUGCUGGAACAUCAGUUAAGGGUGGGUGAAGUGGUCAGAGAUGGACGAAUUAUUUCAGUGUUUGAACAACAUACUAAUAUACUUAUUAAUACUUUGUGUACAGGAAAUACAGGCGACCAAUAAAGCCAGUUGAACAAAAAAUCUGUUUAUUCGUCUUUCAACAUGUUGAGGUGAUGGGUCAAAGGAAAUGAUUGUGACAUAUGGUGUCUCUGACUGCUCUUCCAUCUUGUAUGUCCGUGGGAGGGUCAGGAUGUUCAUGGUUUGGAUCACUGCGGAUGUUUGGUUCAGAAGGACAGUGUUCUCCUCUAAUUGUGGCAAUGUUGUGCAGAAUCACACAUGCCACAAUAAUGUCACAUGCCCUUUCUGGGGUGACCCUGAGUCUUUGAAGGCACUGGAACCGGGCCUUAAGCAUUCCGAUAGUCAUUUCAACUCUGGCUCUUGUCCUGCAAUGAGCCAGAUUAUAUCGCUGCUGUGGGCCCGGUUCAGGGUCAGGGUAAGGGUAAGCAAAUAGG